rnacentral:misc_RNA from 1 species
AUAGCUUCGGUUUGACGAUUUAUUGUCUCGCCGGCGUUGGCGGUUUUGGGAUACCGCGGGGCAACCCGCGCCAUUCUGCUUAAACACUGACAGCGGUCGAGUUUCCUACCCAAUCGAUUAGUAGAAAUAUUCAUCGUUUUAAGGGUUUGAAAUUCUUCGCCAUACAAAAUAGGGCUAAUCCUUCACAGGGCUAAACCCAUAA